GACGAACGCUGGCGGCGUGCUUAACACAUGCAAGUCGAACGAAAAGACGGAAAGAGCUUGCUCUUUUCAGAAUUGAGUGGCAAACGGGUGAGUAACACGUAAACAACCUGCCUUCAGGAUGGGGACAACAGACGGAAACGACUGCUAAUACCGAAUAAGUUCCAAGGGCCGCAUGGCCCAUGGAAGAAAAGGUGGCCUCUACCUGUAAGCUAUCGCCUGAAGAGGGGUUUGCGUCUGAUUAGCUGGUUGGAGGGGUAACGGCCCACCAAGGCAACGAUCAGUAGCCGGUCUGAGAGGAUGAACGGCCACACUGGAACUGAGACACGGUCCAGACUCCUACGGGAGGCAGCAGUGGGGAAUCUUCCGCAAUGGGCGAAAGCCUGACGGAGCAACGCCGCGUGAGUGAUGACGGCCUUCGGGUUGUAAAACUCUGUGAUCCGGGACGAAAAGGCAGAGUGCGAAGAACAAACUGCA
rnacentral:rRNA from 1 species